rnacentral:misc_RNA from 1 species
AAACGGAAAAAAUUACGUUAAAGAGAUUAUAGUAACUGAAGGGCACGAUGAAAUGACAAACUGGGAAAAUAGAAAACCUAUAGGCCAACCAUAAACAUAGUGUAGUAAUUUAUUUAAUCAGCUAGAGCCACAGAAUCCAGAACAAGACAAGAAUUUAUGCGAUAAAUCUAAUAAUAAUAUGGCUGAUUAAAACUUGAAAAGAAACGUUUGACAAGGCGACUAGCAAAAUCAUUCAAAGAGAACCGCAGCCUAUGCGCAGAAAACAGAUACUAAAAAACACAGACCCCAAAUUUACAACGAUGCAAAGCUAAAACACGACCCAAAAAAAAAAACCCAUAUAAGGAGACCAACAAAUCUCAAAAUCAGCUAAACAAUAGAAACAGAAGAUUUUAGAUUUAUAGCUAUUUCAAGAGCAAAUAGAUCUGAUAUUAAACAAAAAAAAAAGUAACUAAAUCUACAUCGAGCACGAAGAACUUAAAUCACGAAAAGAUUUGAAAUCUAACAAAUCUGUCUCUCACAUCUACACCAAAAAAACCUAAAAAUUAAAGAAUUACACGCAUCUUACUACCUUGUUACAAACAGUACAAUCAUAAAAGAUCAUCCAGAAAAACCAAAAUCUGGACCUUAACAUAUAUGCAUAGCUUCAUAC